rnacentral:rRNA from 1 species
UGGGGAAUAUUGCACAAUGGACGGAAGUUUGAUGCAGCGACGCCGCGUGGAGGGUGUAGGCCUUCGGGUUGUGAACUCCUUUUUCUCGCGAAAAAGGCACAGUUUUGGCUGUGUUGAUGGUAGUGGGGGAAGAAGCGCCGGCUAACUACGUGCCAGCAGCCGCGGUAAUACGUAGGGCGCGAGCGUUGUCCGGAUUUAUUGGGCGUAAAGAGCUCGUAGGUGGUUCGUCGCGUCUGUCGUGAAAGCCAGCAGCUUAACUGUUGGUCUGCGGUGGGUACGGGCGGGCUUGAGUGCGGUAGGGGAGACUGGAAUUCCUGGUGUAGCGGUGGAAUGCGCAGAUAUCAGGAGGAACACCGAUGGCGAAGGCAGGUCACUGGGCCGUUACUGACACUGAGGAGCGAAAGCGUGGGGAGCGAACAGG